CGAGAGUGCCGCAAAGCUGAGCGAAGGUGGAAGAAGGACAAGCUGCAGGUUUCCUUCCAAAUACUGAAGGACUCUUUUAACAGCUACCAGAGAACUGUUAAAGAGAGCAAAAGACAAUAUCUGGCAAACUUGGUGGAGUUAAAUCAUCAAAACCCACGUGUGUUGUUUAAAUGUAUCGAUGCUGUUCUUAACGCCCCACAGCCUGCCUGCUUAGAGGCAUCUGUGGAAAUGUGCAAUAAUUUUAUGUACUUUUUUAUUGAAAAGGUUGUGACUGUCAGGUCUCUCAUCUCUGCUCCUGCAUCCGACCCCUCUGUGCCUGUUCCUUGUUCGGCAGUUCUUGACAGGUUUGAGCCUGUGUCUUUGUCAUAUUUAGAAGAGCUGGUUGGCCAUAUUAAGCCUGCUGGUUCUCCCUGUGAUGUUGUCCCUCCCAGGCUGUUUAAAGAGGUUUUCCCCUGCAUAGGUCAGUCUGUUCUGGCUAUCAUAAACAGCAGUCUGUCCUCUGGUGUUGUUCCGCCAGGUUUUAAACAUGCAGUGGUGCAGCCUCUACUCAAAAAACCAGGCCUUGAUUGCAGUGUGCUGGCCAAUUUUAGGCCCAUCUCCAAACUUCCUUUUAUUUCAAAGAUUUUAGAGAAAGUUGUUCAUGUUCAGCUAAAGUCCUUUCUGGAUGAGCAUGGUGUCUUGGAGGUCUUCCAGUCUGGUUUUAAAACUCGCCACAGCACGGAGUCUGCUUUAAUAAGAGUUUUUAAUGACAUCCUCCAGGCAAAUGACUCUGGUGAUUAUGUUGUUCUUGUUCUGUUAGACCUAACAGCAGCCUUCGACACAGUGGACCACAACACUCUGGUGGCUCGGCUAAGCUACCUUAUAGGUGUCCGUGGUACUGCACUAGAGUGGUUCAAGUCAUAUUUAACAGACAGAACAAUGAGUGUGAGUCUUGGAGAUACAAAGUCCAGCUCUGCUCCACUGCCGUAUGGGGUUCCACAAGGGUCGAUUUUAGGGCCCCUGCUCUUUUCUUUAUAUUUGCUGCCCCUGGGAUCCAUCUUGAGAAAGCAUGGCAUUUCAUUUCAUUGUUACGCUGAUGACAGUCAGAUAUAUGUGCCACUUAACAAGAGAAAUGCUUUCUCCCUCACUCCACUUCUGGCGUGUCUUGAAGACAUCAAAGCCUGGAUGGCUUUGAAUUUCUUAAAUUUCAAUGAAAAAAAAACAGAAGUGAUGGUCUUUGGUCCCAGUGGCCCUUGUGAAACCCCUCCUGUAGACUUGGGUAUUUUAGCAGAUUAUUUAAAGCCAACCGUCUCAAAUUUGGGUUUUAAGAUGGACAGUGAUUUUAAAUUUGAUAGGCAAAUUAGCUCCGUAGUGAAAUCCAGUUUUUAUCAUAUUAGGCAGCUGGCGAAGGCAAAGCCUUUUCUUUCACGUAAGCACUUUGAAACAGUAAUCCAUGCCUUUGUUACAUCUCGGCUGGAUUACUGUAACGCACUUUAUUUUGGAGUCAGCCAGUCCUCCCUCUCACGUCUCCAGUUAGUUCAAAACGCAGCUGCCCGGCUCUUAACUGGAGUACGUAAGAGGGAGCACAUUACUCCCAUCCUGGCCUCCCUCCACUGGUUACCCGUGCAUUUUAGAGUUCAUUUUAAGAUUCUUUUAUUUGUUUUUAAAUCUUUAAAUGGUCUGGCUCCAUCUUACCUCUCUGAGCUUCUCCACCCCUACACCCCUGCUCGGUGCCUCAGGUCAGCGGAUCAGCUGCUCCUGCAGGUACCGAGGUCCAAACGGAAGCUCAGAGGGGAUAGAUCUUUUUCUGUUGCAGCCCCAAUUUUAUGGAACGAGCUACCCCUCCAAAUUAGAGAAGCCCCCACACUGUCCAUUUUUAAAAGUCGUCUUAAAACCCAUUUUUAUUCAUUGGCUUUUAACCCUCCAUGAGACUCGGCUCCUGUUUUAGUGUUCUAUGGUUUGUUUUUAGUUAUUUGUUUCUAUGUUUUUAAAUUAGUUUUUAAAAGCAUUGAAACAAUACAUUUAAUUCUGCUUUUAUUUUAUCCAUUGUUUUAAUUGUUUUUUGAUUGGUUUUUAUCUUGUUGUUUUGUCUAGUUAUGUACAGCACUUUGUACAGCUGUGGUUGUUUUAAAGUGCUUAACAAAUAAAGUUGAGUUGAGUUGAGUA
rnacentral:lncRNA from 1 species